UACGGAGGGUGCAAGCGUUAAUCGGAAUUACUGGGCGUAAAGCGUGCGCAGGCGGUUGUGCAAGACCGAUGUGAAAUCCCCGGGCUCAACCUGGGAAUUGCAUUUGUGACUGCACGGCUAGAGUGUGUCAGAGGGGGGUAGAAUUCCACGUGUAGCAGUGAAAUGCGUAGAGAUGUGGAGGAAUACCGAUGGCGAAGGCAGCCCCCUGGGAUAACACUGACGCUCAUGCACGGAAAGCGUGGGGAGCAAACAG
rnacentral:rRNA from 1 species